rnacentral:ncRNA from 1 species
UAGAGAUUCCCACCGUCCCUAACUACUAUCUAGCGAAACCAUAGCCAAGGGAACGGGCUGCGCAAAAAUAGCGGGGAAAGAAGACCCGUUGAGCUUGACUCUAGUUUGACAUUGUGAAGAAUCAUGAGAGGUGUAGCAUAGGAAAUCGUGUUCGCGCAUGAUCGUCAAUGAAAUACCACAACUUUUAUCGAUUCUUUACUUAUUCGGUGAAAAGAGAAUUGAGUUUUAUGACUCUUUACUUAUUUGUGUUAAGUAAAGUCAUAUGAUGGCAUUACGACUCUCGCCGAAGACAUUGUCAGGCGGGAAGUUUGACUGGGGCGGUACAUGUGGAGCCUGGGGCUUAAUUUGACUCAACACGGGAAAACUCACCCGGCCCGGACACCGUAAGGAUUGACAGAUUGAAAGCUCUUUCUCGAUUUGGUGGUUGGUGGUGCAUGGCCGUUCUUAGUUGGUGGAGCGAUUUGUCUGGUUUAUUCCGAUAACGAGCGAGACUAUAGCCUGCUAAAUAGUGACUAGAUUACUGUGUCUGGUCUACUUAGAGGGAUAAGCGGUGUUUAGCCGCACGAGAUUGAGCGAUAACAGGUCUGUGAUGCCCUUAGAUGUCCGGGGCUGCACGCGCGCUACAAUGGAAGAAUCAACUGGCCUAUCCAUUGCCGAAAGGUAUUGGUAAACCGUUGAAACUCUUCUGUGACCGGGAUAGGGAAUUGUAAUUAUUUUCCUUGAACGAAGAAUUCCUACUAAGUGUGAGUCAUCAGCUCACACUGAUUAUAUCCCUGCCAUUUGUACACACCGCCCGUCGCUGUGCGGGGCAGAGCUGUCUCAAGAGGACUGUGGACUACUGUAUUAAGGCCUACGGGUCGCGAUAUAGCGGGAAGCAGUUCAAUCGCAAUGGCUUGAACCGGGUAGAAGUCGUAACAAGGUAUCAGUAGGUGAACCUGCAAAUGUAUCUUCGCUAAAACCAUCACAAAACAAGCUCAUCGUUAUAUGUUAUGUUAUGCGUGGAUGGUUGAUGGAGUAAUGAUCAACAAGAAACCAACACGCGUCACUAUAUAUAUA